AUGCAUGUUGCAGGCAAUGAACUAUUUUACAAGAUAAAAUAUCAGGAAGGGGCAUCUCAUAAUACUGCAGCUAUUAAAAAGAAUCCAAAUGAGCCCGCGUCACCAUCGUCGUCCAGAGACAGGUCGGCAAGGGAGGCUAUGAGGAAUUGGCCCAUGGAUAAGAAUAUUUCAGUCGCUGAAGAGAUUGUUGAACAUAUGACAUUGAUGCAAAUCUCUGGCCACCUACAAGUGAAACUGCUUGAAGACCAAGUUCGAAUAUGUAUGAGCGCAGUGAAGUUCGGCAUGCAAGUCUAUUCGCAGUCUCGCACCCUAAUGUAA
rnacentral:rRNA from 1 species